rnacentral:rRNA from 1 species
GAUGAACGCUGGCGGCGUGCCUAAUACAUGCAAGUCGAGCGAACAGACGAGGAGCUUGCUCCUCUGACGUUAGCGGCGGACGGGUGAGUAACACGUGGAUAACCUACCUAUAAGACUGGGAUAACUUCGGGAAACCGGAGCUAAUACCGGAUAAUAUAUUGAACCGCAUGGUUCAAUAGUGAAAGACGGUUUUGCUGUCACUUAUAGAUGGAUCCGCGCCGCAUUAGCUAGUUGGUAAGGUAACGGCUUACCAAGGCAACGAUGCUUAGCCGACCUGAGAGGGUGAUCGGCCACACGGGAAUUGAGACACGGUCCAGACUCCUACGGGAGGCAGCAGUAGGGAAUCUUCCGCAAUGGGCGAAAGCCUGACGGAGCAACGCCGCGUGAGUGAUGAAGGUCUUCGGAUCGUAAAACUCUGUUAUUAGGGAAGAACAAAUGUGUAAGUAACUAUGCACGUCUUGACGGUACCUAAUCAGAAAGCCACGGCUAACUACGUG